AGAUGUGAAUGAGAUCUGGCUGUGCCAUCUGUCAUCCCACUGAUUUUGAGGGUGGAUUCAGCAUCUCUGGUUGGGUAGGUGGGUGUCCCCUUCCUUCCUCAGUGCUCCAUAAGCAUCCCUCUUGAAGCUGCAUGUUUGGUCAAAGAGGAUGACGUUCCCCAAAUAAGAGUAGCUGUACUCUCAUGCUAGAACCUCCAAACAAGCUCUCAAGCCUGAUAGGAAAAUACACAAAGUUGUCCUUCAUACCAACACUGAAGGAAUUCCUGUAGCCCCUGCACUAGCAGGGAAGAUGAACUG
rnacentral:snRNA from 1 species